UCGUCGGAUUUUUCCUACUUUGUAGAAGAAGUCGCUUUCAACACUGGACGCUCAACUUCCUUCCAUUAAUCACCCCGCCUCACGAUCGACACGACAUUCCGUGACAAGCUUCUGAAAUCGGUCACGCGAGAUAGGGAGAAAGGCAACCCACUCAGACAGUUAACUUCAGCGAAGCUUGCGCUAAUCAGAGGGACGUUGCUCUUCGUCCCUUUGAUCUGGAGUCCGCCGUCGUGUGGGGAUGGUAGUGGCAGUAGCAGCCCUCCUUCAGCAGCUUCAUGUUCCUUUUGGCCGUACCGUUUAUCUUGAACAUGAUUUCCUCCUUGGCGAAUUUCAGCCCGUCGAUGUACCUGUGUGCCCACGUGUUUAACGCCCCGUUUAUGAUCUUAAGAAGCUUGUAAUAGUACCCCUCGCCGAGACCGGGGUUAAUCUUCUCUUCGACGCUCUUGCAGUUGAACCAAUACAACUUUUUCGUCUCAUUUAUGCAGAUCACGCUCACCGUGUGACG